GGAGUGGGCGAAGGCGAUCGUCCGUACUCCUUAGGGAAGUACGGGAGGAAAGUCCGAACUGGGCAGGGCACGGUGGUUGGUAACGCCAACCCGGCGUGAGCCGAGGGAAAGUGCCACAGAAAAGACACCGCCGGACAACCGUCGAAAAUCAGAAUUGUCAAGGUCCCAAGUCUUGACUUUUCGACUUGUUGACGUUUAUUCCGGUAAGGGUGAAAUGGUGCGGUAAGAGCGCACCGCGCAGCCGGUGACGGUUGCGGCAGGGUAAACCCCACCGCCAGCAAGCCCAAAUAGGCAGCGAGAGGCGGCCCGCCUCGUGAGUGCGGAGAGGCGAAUUCUGAACUCAGGAUUCCGCCUUCUGAAUUCUAAAGCUGCGGGUAGGGUGCUCGAGCCGGCGGGCGACCGUCGGCCUAGAUGAAUGAUCGCCCAACCGCGGGCGGAAUGGAGGACGGACCGGCGCGUCGGACCUGUCUGACGUGGUUCAUUCGACGUUCGCUUCGCGGGGGACAGAAUUCGGCUUAUCCGCCCACUCCAUCG
rnacentral:RNase_P_RNA from 1 species